rnacentral:lncRNA from 1 species
AUACAAGAAGACAUCGGAAACCCUAUCGCAGGCCGGACAGAAGGCCUCUGCUGCAUUUUCAUCGGUUGGCUCAGUCAUCACCAAAAAGCUGGAAGACGUAAAUAUCCGCUCCAUUCAGCAUUCGAUUAGCAUGCCUGCUAUGAGAAACUCUCCAACUUUCAAGUCAUUUGAAGAAAAAGUUGAAAACUUAAAGUCUAAAGUAGGAGGAGCCAAGCCUGCUGGUGGCGACUUUGGAGAAGUCCUGAAUUCCACAGCGAACGCUACCAGUACCACAACCACGGAGCCACCUCCAGAACAGACGACAGAGAGCCCCUGAGCUGCCGACCUGUGUCCUGCUGCCCACUGCCAGGUGCUGCGAGAGCCAAGCACAUCUUGACAACGCUCACGACUGCAGAUUUCUACCAGAUGUG